CCUACGGGUGGCAGCAGUGAGGAAUAUUGGUCAAUGGGCGGGAGCCUGAACCAGCCAAGUCGCGUGAGGGACGACGGUCCUAUGGAUUGUAAACCUCUUUUGUCGGGGAACAAAGGCGCCCACGGGUGGGCGGAUGAGUGUACCCGAAGAAAAAGCAUCGGCUAACUCCGUGCCAGCAGCCGCGGUAAUACGGAGGAUGCGAGCGUUAUCCGGAUUUAUUGGGUUUAAAGGGUGCGUAGGUGGUUAAUUAAGUCAGCGGUGAAAGUUUGUGGCUCAACCAUAAAAUUGCCGUUGAAACUGGUUGACUUGAGUAUAUUUGAGGUAGGCGGAAUGCGUGGUGUAGCGGUGAAAUGCAUAGAUAUCACGCAGAACUCCGAUUGCGAAGGCAGCUUACUAAACUAUAACUGACACUGAAGCACGAAAGCGUGGGGAUCAAACAGGAUUAGAUACCCUUGUAGUC
rnacentral:rRNA from 1 species